GAUUGCCGUGACGACUACGGAUAUUCAAGCUCAACAGACCGGAUCACAGAUCUGUCUUCGUGGGAUUUGUAUGUCGACCACCCCGCUGACCUGAGCAAUC